rnacentral:rRNA from 1 species
AGCGAACGCUGGCGGCAGGCUUAACACAUGCAAGUCGAACGGGCACUUCGGUGCUAGUGGCAGACGGGUGAGUAACACGUGGGAACGUACCUUUCGGUUCGGAAUAAUUCAGGGAAACUUGGACUAAUACCGGAUACGCCCUUUUGGGGAAAGAUUUAUCGCCGAUAGAGCGGCCCGCGUCUGACGAGCUAGUUGGUGAGGUAAAGGCUCACCAAGGCGACGAUCAGUAGCUGGUCUGAGAGGAUGAUCAGCCACAUUGGGACUGAGACACGGCCCAAACUCCUACGGGAGGCAGCAGUGGGGAAUAUUGGACAAUGGGCGCAAGCCUGAUCCAGCCAUGCCGCGUGAGUGAUGAAGGCCUUAGGGUUGUAAAGCUCUUUUGUCCGGGAAGAUAAUGACUGUACCGGAAGAAUAAGCCCCGGCUAACUUCGUGCCAGCCGCCGCGGUAAUAC